rnacentral:rRNA from 1 species
ACGUAGGGGGCGAGCGUUAUCCGGAUUUAUUGGGCGUAAAGCGUGUGUAGGUGGUUUAUUAAGUAUAAAAUUAAAGCCCGAGGCUUAACCUCGGUUCGUUUUAUAAACUGGUAGACUUGAGUAUGGUAGAGGCAAAUGGAAUUUCUAGUGUAGCGGUAGAAUGCGUAGAUAUUAGAAGGAACACCAGUGGCGAAAGCGAUUUGCUGGGCCAUUACUGACACUGAGACACGAAAGCGUGGGGAGCAAAUAG